rnacentral:rRNA from 1 species
UACGAACUGUGCGAACGUUAUUCGGAAUCACUGGGCUUACAGGGUGCGUAGGCGGCUUAGCAAGUCAGGUGUGAAAGCUCCCGGCUCAACCGGGGAACUGCGCUUGAAACUGCUGAGCUCGAGUCAGCUAGAGGUACACGGAACUUCCAGUGGAGCGGUGAAAUGUGUUGAUAUUGGAAGGAACACCGGAGGCAAAAGCGGUGUACUGGGGCUGGUCUGACGCUGAGGCACGAAAGCCAGGGGAGCGAACGGGG